rnacentral:rRNA from 1 species
GAGACGGAAACGGUCUCCGUAGGUGACCUGCGGAGGGAUCAUUA